AUAAUUAGUUACGACUCCCCACGAGGUGGAGUUAGCGUAAUAACAGAAAAGGGAGAAACGACAACAAGCUUCCUGCUGAUUCAAAAAGCGAACCCUAAUGAUUCUGGGAGAUACCAGUGUAACCCUUCCAAUGCACAAUCCAAGUCCAUCAACGUACACGUCCUGAACGAAUUUCCUGCAGCUAUGCAGCAUGGUGGACAGGCGCAUCACAGGAGUUCACAUCUUUACUGCCUAAUAUUUUGCGUCUGCUUGCUGCUGUUUAGCACGUAACCCGCCUGAGGCAUUCGCAGCUUUUAUCAGUGUUUACCUUCAAAACCUAACACAGACCUCAAAAACUCCUUUAACAACAAAAAAUUAAUUGGCCAUAACUCUCAAUUAGUUUUUCCAUGGCUGCCCGUCAUCGCUAUUUAUUCAUAUACUUAUGUAAAAAACGUAAAAAAAUAAACUGAUAUAAAUGUUUAGCUGUUUAAUGAUAAAGAUGAUUGAUUAAAUAUAUGAAAAUAUAUAUAUACUUGUAAAUAUUUAAGGUUGAUUGAAUAGAAGCGCGUAUUUUAAACUGUAUAUUUUAAAAGAAACAAUAAGAGAUUAUAUUUAAAUGUUAUAUUUUUCUUUCAACUGUCCAAUUUUAAGUGACGCGAAAAGUUAAUUUGUUGAUAAAUAUGUAUAAUGACAAUAGGGCUCUUUAUAUUUACUAAAAUUGGCCUAAGAGCGUUUCUGAUAUUUGUUAACUUUCAAUUAACAAAAAUUUAUUGCUAGUUAAUGUUAACCCCAUUAAAUUUUCGGAUAAGAUAUUGUUUUAAUCUCUUCAAUAUAAACUAAUUUAUAUUGUAUAAUUAUUAAGUGUAUAAUGGCUAUCAAGAGGCAAACGUCGAUUCUUUUCCUUUACUGAUAUUAAACUUGUGGGUGAAUGGCUGAUGAACGAAUUUUUUUCGAGACUGGAGAUAUUAUCAUCCUUGCAUCUUAUCAAUUCUAAUUUUGGGAAUGAUGCUAUCAACACGGAGUCGUACAAAUCUGCCCGGCUCCAGUCAACUGUACAUACUUCCAUCUCCAGGACUCAAAUCCAGUGUGCGUUCACGUGGGAACGAAUGAUUGUGCCGUGUGCUUGAAGUAAGGAAUCGGUGUUAGUGUUUCAUAACCUAUGGAGAAAAAAAAAGCUCAUCGAAACAGGUGUUUCUAUUUUAUUUUUCAAUGAACCACAAAAAGACAACUACUACUCUUUCAAACCCGUUCUUAAUUAUAUCCAGACAUGGUGAUUUUGAGGACAUACGAAAACCCUUCCCGAGCUCAUUGUGGUCAUAAAAUAUCUUUAUCGUACAGUAGACUAAUAACUAAACAAAAAAUUAUAUAUAACUUAGAUGUUAAGGAAAAACUUGAAAUUCAUUAUCACUCGUUUGAGUUUCUUACCACCAAAUUAUGAUUGUUAAAUUAGUUCUCUUUAAUUAAUAUAGAAA